CGGAACGUGGCGCAGCCCGGUAGCGCACUUGACUGGGGGUCAAGGGGUCGCGGGUUCAAAUCCCGCCGUUCCGA
rnacentral:tRNA from 1 species